rnacentral:rRNA from 1 species
GACAGAGGGUGCAAACGUUGUUCGGAAUUACUGGGCGUAAAGCGCAUGUAGGCGGCAACGCAAGUCGGGCGUGAAAUCCCACGGCUCAACCGUGGAAGUGCACUCGAAACUGCGUAGCUAGAGUCCUGGAGAGGAAGGUGGAAUGCUUGGUGUAGAGGUGAAAUUCGUAGAUAUCAAGCGGAACACCGGUGGCGAAGGCGGCCUUCUGGACAGUGACGUGACGCUGAGAUGCGAAAGCGUGGGGAGCAAACAGGG